GAUGAAGAACGUAGCGAAAUGCGAUAACUAAUGUGAAUUGCAGGAUUCCGUGAAUCAUCGAGUCUUUGAACGCACAUUGCGCCCCCUGGUAUUCCGGGGGGCAUGCCUGUCCGAGCGUCAUUGCUGCCCAUCAAGCACGGCUUGUGUGUUGGGUCCUCGUCCCCCCCGGGGGACGUGCCCGAAAGGCAGCGGCGGCACCGCGUCCGGUCCUCGAGCGUAUGGGGCUUUGUCACCCGCUCUGCAGGCCCGGCCGGCGCUGGCCGACGCGAAAGCAACCAUUUUUUCUCCAGGUUGACCUCGGAUCAGGUAGGGAUACCCGCUGAACUUAAGCAUAUCAAUAAGCGGAGGA
rnacentral:misc_RNA from 1 species